rnacentral:lncRNA from 1 species
UUUACUAGUGAAAAUUUUCAAAAUGAAAAAUAAAUACUACUGAUACGCACAAAAAAGUGUAAAUCUUACGUCUCCUCUUUCUCGGGUUUAAAAACUCUUAGAUAUCCAAUAUUAAAAAAAUAGAACUAAAUUUUAGAAAACCCCUUUAUAAAUAUUCAUUUUUUCACUUUUUCUUCUUAAUUUUCAAAAAAACUAUAUUUUACUCUUUCAACAUUUCAAAUUAUUGCAUUUAGCUUCCUUCCGUUUGUCCAUUUCUUAUAAUUUAUAAAAAAAAUAUUUUUCAAAAUAAUAUAAAUAUAUUAAAAAUAUAUUUUUCUAUAGAAAAAGAAAGGACAAUUUGGUCAUUUUACCCUUCACUUUACUCCCUCAACAUUCCAAAUUAUCGCAUUUAGUUU